AGAGUUUGAUCAUGGCUCAGAUUGAACGCUGGCGGCAGGCCUAACACAUGCAAGUCGAACGGUAACAGGAAGCAGCUUGCUGCUUUGCUGACGAGUGGCGGACGGGUGAGUAAUGUCUGGGAAACUGCCUGAUGGAGGGGGAUAACUACUGGAAACGGUAGCUAAUACCGCAUAACGUCGCAAGACCAAAGAGGGGGACCUUCGGGCCUCUUGCCAUCGGAUGUGCCCAGAUGGGAUUAGCUAGUAGGUGGGGUAACGGCUCACCUAGGCGACGAUCCCUAGCUGGUCUGAGAGGAUGACCAGCCACACUGGAACUGAGACACGGUCCAGACUCCUACGGGAGGCAGCAGUGGGGAAUAUUGCACAAUGGGCGCAAGCCUGAUGCAGCCAUGCCGCGUGUAUGAAGAAGGCCUUCGGGUUGUAAAGUACUUUCAGCGGGGAGGAAGGGAGUAAAGUUAAUACCUUUGCUCAUUGACGUUACCCGCAGAAGAAGCACCGGCUAACUCCGUGCCAGCAGCCGCGGUAAUACGGAGGGUGCAAGCGUUAAUCGGAAUUACUGGGCGUAAAGCGCACGCAGGCGGUUUGUUAAGUCAGAUGUGAAAUCCCCGGGCUCAACCUGGGAACUGCAUCUGAUACUGGCAAGCUUGAGUCUCGUAGAGGGGGGUAGAAUUCCAGGUGUAGCGGUGAAAUGCGUAGAGAUCUGGAGGAAUACCGGUGGCGAAGGCGGCCCCCUGGACGAAGACUGACGCUCAGGUGCGAAAGCGUGGGGAGCAAACAGGAUUAGAUACCCUGGUAGUCCACGCCGUAAACGAUGUCGACUUGGAGGUUGUGCCCUUGAGGCGUGGCUUCCGGAGCUAACGCGUUAAGUCGACCGCCUGGGGAGUACGGACGCAAGGUUAAAACUCAAAUGAAUUGACGGGGGCCCGCACAAGCGGUGGAGCAUGUGGUUUAAUUCGAUGCAACGCGAAGAACCUUACCUGGUCUUGACAUCCACGGAAGUUUUCAGAGAUGAGAAUGUGCCUUCGGGAACCGUGAGACAGGUGCUGCAUGGCUGUCGUCAGCUCGUGUUGUGAAAUGUUGGGUUAAGUCCCGCAACGAGCGCAACCCUUAUCCUUUGUUGCCAGCGGUCCGGCCGGGAACUCAAAGGAGACUGCCAGUGAUAAACUGGAGGAAGGUGGGGAUGACGUCAAGUCAUCAUGGCCCUUACGACCAGGGCUACACACGUGCUACAAUGGCGCAUACAAAGAGAAGCGACCUCGCGAGAGCAAGCGGACCUCAUAAAGUGCGUCGUAGUCCGGAUUGGAGUCUGCAACUCGACUCCAUGAAGUCGGAAUCGCUAGUAAUCGUGGAUCAGAAUGCCACGGUGAAUACGUUCCCGGGCCUUGUACACACCGCCCGUCACACCAUGGGAGUGGGUUGCAAAAGAAGUAGGUAGCUUAACCUUCGGGAGGGCGCUUACCACUUUGUGAUUCAUGACUGGGGUGAAGUCGUAACAAGGUAACCGUAGGGGAACCUGCGGUUGGAUCACCU
rnacentral:rRNA from 2 species